GAUGAAGAACGUAGCGAAAUGCGAUACGUAAUGUGAAUUGCAGAAUUCAGUGAAUCAUCGAAUCUUUGAACGCAUAUUGCGCUCUUUGGUAUUCCGAAGAGCAUGCUUGUUUGAGUAUCAGUAAACACCUCAACCUCUUCUUGAUUUUUCAAAAGGAGGGUGGACUUGAGCUAUCCCAACAACCUUUACCGGUCGGCGGGCGGCUUGAAAUGCAGGUGCAGCUGGACUUUUAUCUGAGCUAAAAGCAUAUCUAUUUAGUCCUCGUCAAACAGGAUUAUUACUUUUGCUGCAGCUAACAUAAAGGAUAAUUGUCCUCUUUGCUGACUGAUGCAGGAUUUUACGACACUUUAUGUGUUGUUCAACUCGAUCUCAAAUCAAGUAAGACUACCCGCUGAACUUAAGCUUAUCAAUAGCGGAGGA
rnacentral:misc_RNA from 1 species